rnacentral:rRNA from 1 species
CCUACGGGUGACAGCAGUGGGGAAUAUUGCACAAUGGGGGCAACCCUGAUGCAGCAACGCCGCGUGAGUGAGGAAGUAUUUCGGUAUGUAAAGCUCUAUCAGCAGGGAAUAGAAAAGAAGGUACCUGAAAAAGUAGCCCCGGCCAACUACCUGCCAGCAGCCGCGGUAAUACGUAGGGGGCAAGCGUUAUCCGGAUUUACUGGGUGGAAAGGGAGCGUAGACGGGAUUGCAAGUCAGAUGUGAAAACCCGAGGCUCAACCAUGGUACUGCAUUUGAAACUGUCGAUCUAGAGUACGGGAGAGGUAAGAGGAAUUCCUAGUGUAGCGGUGAAAUGCGUAGAUAGUAGGAGGAACACCAGGGGCGAAGGCGUCUUACUGGACCGAAACUGACGUUGAGGCGCGAAAGCGUGGGGAGCAAACAGGAUUAGAUACCCUGGUAGUC